rnacentral:rRNA from 1 species
UACGGGGGAGCAAGCGUUGUUCGGAUUUACUGGGCGUAAAGGGCGCGUAGGCGGUAGCACAAGUCAGUUGUGAAAUCUCCGGGCUUAACUCGGAAAGGUCAACUGAUACUGUGCGACUAGAGUGCAGAAGGGGCAACUGGAAUUCUCGGUGUAGCGGUGAAAUGCGUAGAUAUCGAGAGGAACACCUGCGGCGAAGGCGGGUUGCUGGGCUGACACUGACGCUGGAGGCGCGAAAGCCAGGGAGCGAACGGG